GUUGGUGUAAGGAUAUAUCUUUAAGUAAGUAGUAUGGUGUACUGUAGAACAUGGUAAACUCAUUGCAGAUGUCUUGCAGCCUAAGAAUUUUUCAUCCUGAAACUAAGAUUAAGUAAAGUAUCUUUGAGUCACUCAGAUUAAAAACAUACUUGCAGUAAAGCUGUUAUUUUAGAAGAGGCUUUUGCAGGAGUAGUUUAACUGCAGAGGAGUUUAAAAAAUUAAAGUCCACGUUAAGGUACAAAUUUGACUAGGCAGAAAUUGAAGAUUAUGCUAGCUUUAGUGUAUUUAUAAUCUUAAUUUUAGUAAUGACAGGAGGCAAAUAUUUUGCAU